rnacentral:tRNA from 1 species
GGCCCCAUCGUCUAGUCUGGUCCAGGACGUCAGGUUCUCAUCCUGAAAACUGGGGUUCGAAUCCCCAUGGGGUCA